rnacentral:rRNA from 1 species
GACGAACGCUGGCGGCGUGCUUAACACAUGCAAGUCGAACGGUGAAGGGACCAGCUUGCUGGUUCUGGAUGAGUGGCGAACGGGUGAGUAACACGUGAGUAACCUGCCCCCUUCUUCUGGAUAACCGCAUGAAAGUGUGGCUAAUACGGGAUAUUCUGGGUCUGUCGCAUGGCGGGCCCGGGAAAGAUAUUGCUUCGGUGGGGGAUGGGCUCGCGGCCUAUCAGCUUGUUGGUGGGGUGAUGGCCUACCAAGGCGGUGACGGGUAGCCGGCCUGAGAGGGUGGACGGUCACACUGGGACUGAGACACGGCCCAGACUCCUACGGGAGGCAGCAGUGGGGAAUAUUGCACAAUGGGCGCAAGCCUGAUGCAGCGACGCCGCGUGGGGGAUGGAGGCCUUCGGGUUGUAAACCUCUUUCGCCAGUGAAGCAGGCCUGCUCCUUGUGGGUGGGUUGACGGUAGCUGGAUAAGAAGCGCCGGCUAACUACGUG